UGGGGAAUUUUGCACAAUGGGGGAAACCCUGAUGCAGCGACGCCGCGUGAUUUAGAAGGCCUUCGGGUUGUAAAAAUCUUUUCUAUGGGAAGAAAAUGACAGUACCAUAGGAAUAAGGACCGGCUAAUUACGUGCCAGCAGCCGCGGUAAUACGUAAGGUCCGAGCGUUGUCCGGAAUCAUUGGGCGUAAAGGGUACGUAGGCGGGUAAGCAAGUUAGAAGUGAAAUCCUAUAGCUCAACUAUAGUAAGCUUUUAAAACUGCUUAUCUUGAGGUAUGGAAGGGAAAGUGGAAUUCCUAGUGUAGCGGUGAAAUGCGCAGGUAUUAGGAGGAAUACCGGUGGCGAAGGCGACUUUAUGGCCAUAUCCUGACGCUGGGGUACGAAAGCGUGGGUAGCAAACAGG
rnacentral:rRNA from 1 species